rnacentral:rRNA from 1 species
UACGUAGGGUGCAAGCGUUGUCCGGAAUUAUUGGGCGUAAAGAGCUCGUAGGCGGUCUGUCGCGUCUGCUGUGAAAAUCCAGGGCUCAACCCUGAGCUUGCAGUGGGUACGGGCAGACUGGAGUGCGGUAGGGGAGACUGGAAUUCCUGGUGUAGCGGUGAAAUGCGCAGAUAUCAGGAGGAACACCGGUGGCGAAGGCGGGUCUCUGGGCCGUAACUGACGCUGAGGAGCGAAAGCAUGGGGAGCGAACAGG